CCCAGAGGGCACAGACCCUACAUCCCGAGCCUCUUCCUGCGGGUCCCCGAAGAGACUGUGAAGGCCCCACAGAGCCUUGAGGGUGCGGACUCGCUGGCACCCUAAAGCCCUGGACGGGGAACCUGGCAAAGUACUGUUUAUUUAUGUGACACUGAGAAGACAUAAGCCCUCGAGACCGGUCGGGCGGAUCUGGGUCCACUUUACUGUCCCCAGACAUGUGACUCUCGGUGGAACUGGACAGCGUCGAUCCGAACGAGCCUAGGGCCCAACGCAGACAUUGGGCUGUGUGCUGCGUCACCUAGGACGCCAGCGUGACUCCAGGACCUCGAUUAUCUCGGCAGCAGUCUGAGGACAGCCGACUGAUGUGACUCAGCGGCACUGCCAGCCGUCUGCACCGCGAGUGCCGAACCCGGGACCUCCGGGAUCGCCGCUGCUGACGGCGUGCCUCCGAAAAGACCGUGCCCUGCAGCCUCUCCUGCCUUCCCCUAAAUCUCCCUUCUCCCUCCUAAGCACUAGUGCACAGCCCUAGCCCGGCACGGGCUGGGGAGCUUUGCUCUCCGCCUACGCGCAUGCUCUGUGGCUUCCAUCGGGAAGGGUUCUGCCCAGUCUGACUUCAGGAAGGCUCCACUGAUUGGUCCAGCUACUCAAACCACACCCAUCACCCCUGAUGGACAGCUUCUUACCUGCCUGGUCAGCUUCCGAGGCUUGGUGGCCUUGAAAACCAGAGGCAGGCUGGGGAGUUUCUCGGGAGGCCUCCUGAUCAAGUAUCUGGAGACUUUUUGGAAAAACUUGGAACUGCGUCCCACCUCUCCAAAAAUCCAAAUCCCUGGCCUAAAGCUAAUCUUAGAGCUGAAGGGAGAAAAUACCUAGUUUAGAGAGCAAAACACCACCAUUCUGAGCUUAAUGAGCAGGCCCAGAUUUAGAGCUCGGGUAUGCGGCUGGUACUCAAUAAAUGCUUGCUGUACUGAAUUUUUUUUUUUUUUUACCCUAUUGAGUCCACAAAGUGUAACACUGAACAGCAUGACAGGUUAAAAGAUUUUUAAAUUCCUUAUUUUUAGUUUUAGUUUUAGUUACUUUGUGUGUCUGUGUACUGGUAUGUCCAUGGAGACUAGAGCCUUUGAACUUUUUUUAAUUACAUACCCGAUUUGUUUCUCCUCUGUGUAAACCUGGAACGUCCUAGACUUUUCUCGAAGUAUGUGAUAAUAAAACGGAGGCAGGCCAACCACACCCUGCUUUGGAUGGAAAAACUAA
rnacentral:lncRNA from 1 species